GACGAACGCUGGCGGCGUGCCUAAUACAUGCAAGUCGAACGCACUCUCGUUUAGAUUGAAGGAGUUUGCUCCUGAUUGAUAAACAUUUGAGUGAGUGGCGGACGGGUGAGUAACACGUGGGUAACCUGCCCUAAAGUGGGGGAUAACAUUUGGAAACAGAUGCUAAUACCGCAUAAAACCUAACACCGCAUGGUGUAGGGUUGAAAGAUGGUUUCGGCUAUCACUUUAGGAUGGACCCGCGGUGCAUUAGUUAGUUGGUGAGGUAAAGGCUCACCAAGACCGUGAUGCAUAGCCGACCUGGGAGGGUAAUCGGCCACACUGGGACUGAGACACGGCCCAGACUCCUACGGGAGGCAGCAGUAGGGAAUCUUCCACAAUGGACGAAAGUCUGAUGGAGCAACGCCGCGUGAGUGAAGAAGGUGUUCGGAUCGUAAAACUCUGUUGUUGGAGAAGAAUGUAUCUGAUAGUAACUGAUCAGGUAGUGACGGUAUCCAAACAGAAAGCCACGGCUAACUACGUG
rnacentral:rRNA from 1 species